UACGAAGGGGGCUAGCGUUGCUCGGAAUCACUGGGCGUAAAGGGUGCGUAGGCGGGUCUUUAAGUCAGGGGUGAAAUCCUGGAGCUCAACUCCAGAACUGCCUUUGAUACUGAAGAUCUUGAGUUCGGGAGAGGUGAGUGGAACUGCGAGUGUAGAGGUGAAAUUCGUAGAUAUUCGCAAGAACACCGAUGGCGAAGGCACUCUACUGGGCUAUUACUGACACUCAGAGACGAAAGCUAGGGGAGCAAAUGGG
rnacentral:rRNA from 1 species